rnacentral:rRNA from 2 species
UGGCUCAGAACGAACGCUGGCGGCAGGCUUAACACAUGCAAGUCGAGCGGGCGUAGCAAUACGUCAGCGGCAGACGGGUGAGUAACGCGUGGGAACGUACCUUUUGGUUCGGAACAACUGAGGGAAACUUCAGCUAAUACCGGAUAAGCCCUUACGGGGAAAGAUUUAUCGCCGAAGGAUCGGCCCGCGUCUGAUUAGCUAGUUGGUGGGGUAAUGGCCCACCAAGGCGAGGAUAAGUAGCUGGUCUGAGAGGAUGAUCAGCCUCACUGGGAUUGAUACACGGCCCANAGAACUACGGGAGGCAG